GAUGAACGCUGGCGGCGUGCCUAAUACAUGCAAGUCGAGCGAACAGAUGAGGAGCUUGCUCCUCUGACGUUAGCGGCGGACGGGUGAGUAACACGUGGAUAACCUACCUAUAAGACUGGGAUAACUUCGGGAAACCGGAGCUAAUACCGGAUAAUAUAUUGAACCGCAUGGUUCAAUAGUGAAAGACGGUUUUGCUGUCACUUAUAGAUGGAUCCGCGCCGCAUUAGCUAGUUGGUAAGGUAACGGCUUACCAAGGCAACGAUGCGUAGCCGACCUGAGAGAGUGAUCAGCCAAACUGGAACUGAGACACGGUCCAGACUCCUACGGGAGGCAGCAGUAGGGAAUCUUCCGCAAUGAGCGAAAGCCUGACGGAGCAAAGCCGCGUGAGUGAUGAAGGUCUUCGGAUCGUAAAACUCUGUUAUUAGGGAAGAACAAAUGUGUAAGUAACUAUGCACGUCUUGACGGUACCUAAGCAGAAAGCCACGGCUAACUAAGUG
rnacentral:rRNA from 1 species